rnacentral:rRNA from 1 species
AACGAACGCUGGCGGCAGGCUUAAUACAUGCAAGUCGAGCGCCCCGCAAGGGGAGCGGCAGACGGGUGAGUAACGCGUGGGAACGUACCCUUUGCUACGGAAUAGCUCCGGGAAACUGGAAUUAAUACCGUAUGUGCCCUACGGGGGAAAGAUUUAUCGGCAAAGGAUCGGCCCGCGUUGGAUUAGCUAGUUGGUGGGGUAAUGGCCUACCAAGGCGACGAUCCAUAGCUGGUCUGAGAGGAUGAUCAGCCACAUUGGGACUGAGACACGGCCCAAACUCCUACGGGAGGCAGCAGUGGGGAAUAUUGCACAAUGGGCGCAAGCCUGAUGCAGCAACGCCGCGUGAGUGAUGAAGGCCUUCGGGUUGUAAAACUCUGUCCUAUGGGAAGAAUCAAAUGACGGUACCAUAGGAGGAAGCCCCGGCUAACUACGUGCCAGCCGCCGCCGUAAAAC